CCCCCCCCCCUCCCCACUAAAAUAUUUUAACAUUUGAGUAGGGACGACCAAAAAAAUUAUUAGAGCUAUAAUAGAGUACCGCAAGGGAAAAGUGAAAUAAUAAUGAAAUACCACAAAGCAGAAAAAAGUAAAGAUUAUAACUUGUACCUUUUGCAUCAUGGUUUAACUAGUUCAACCGAGCAAAGAGAUUUUUUAGUUCGACCUCCCGAAACUGGGUGAGCUACUUCAGGGCAACUAAUUGAGCCAACCCGUCCCUGUUGCAAAAGGGUGGGAUGACCCUGUAGUAGAGGUGACAGACCUAACGAAUUCAGUGAUAGCUGGUUACUCAAGAAAAGAAUCUUAGUCCAACCUAAAGCUAUCUAAUAAAAUACACUAUUGCUUUAGAGUAAUUCAAAUAAGGUACAGCCUAU
rnacentral:rRNA from 1 species